CCUACGGGUGGCUGCAGUGAGGAAUAUUGGUCAAUGGCCGAGAGGCUGAACCAGCCAAGUCGCGUGAGGGAAGACGGCCCUACGGGUUGUAAACCUCUUUUGUCGGGGAGCAAAGAGAGUCACGUGUGACUCAUUGAGAGUACCCGAAGAAAAAGCAUCGGCUAACUCCGUGCCAGCAGCCGCGGUAAUACGGAGGAUGCGAGCGUUAUCCGGAUUUAUUGGGUUUAAAGGGUGCGCAGGCGGAGGUGCAAGUCAGCGGUCAAAUCGCGGGGCUCAACCCCGUAGUGCCGUUGAAACUGCAUGCCUUGAGUGCGCGAGAAGUAUGCGGAAUGCGUGGUGUAGCGGUGAAAUGCAUAGAUAUCACGCAGAACUCCGAUUGCGAAGGCAGCAUACCGGCGCGCAACUGACGCUCAUGCACGAAAGCGUGGGUAUCGAACAGGAUUAGAUACCCCUGUAGUC
rnacentral:rRNA from 1 species